rnacentral:rRNA from 1 species
AGUGAACGCUGGCGGUAGGCCUAACACAUGCAAGUCGAACGGCAGCACAGUAAGAGCUUGCUCUUACGGGUGGCGAGUGGCGGACGGGUGAGGAAUACAUCGGAAUCUACUUUUUCGUGGGGGAUAACGUAGGGAAACUUACGCUAAUACCGCAUACGAUCUACGGGUGAAAGCAGGGGAUCUUCGGACCUUGCGCGAUUGAAUGAGCCGAUGUCGGCUUAGCUAGUUGGCGGGGUAAAGGCCCACCAAGGCGACGAUCCGUAGCUGGUCUGAGAGGAUGAUCAGCCACACUGGAACUGAGACACGGUCCAGACUCCUACGGGAGGCAGCAGUGGGGACUAUUGGACAAUGGGCGCAAGCCUGAUCCAGCCAUACCGCGUGAGUGAAGAAGGCCUUCGGGUUGUAAAGCCCUUUUGUUGGGAAAGAAAAGCAGCAGGUUAAUACCCCGCUGUUCUGACGGUACCCAAAGAAUAAGCACCGGCUAACUUCGUG